AAUGAAGACUGGCUAUUUAAGCAAUUAGUAUUGAUCAUAAAUUGCUCUAUAGGUGUUGAGAAAGGUUUUGUUUUGGAUAUGGUCUUUAAUCACCUGCCUGUUAUACCUAGAUGGACAUAUCCAGUUCAAUCUUUGCUGCACCAACAAAAAUAGUGCCCAAUAUGACUGAAAACCACAGCAGCAAGGAAGAAGUGCAGUUACCGGUUUUGGGGAACCAUAAGGUGAAGGAAUAAACUGAAAUGCAUUUGCAACCUGUGUGGGGACAUUGCCAACUACCACAGACAUCCAUCCAGUCAUCUUUUUAUUUUUAGAUGCAAUUUUUUUGUCUAGGAUAAUGAAAAUAAAGAAAAGAACUGAAGCUUCCGGAACUUUCCUUGUGAAAUCCCAGAUGUUGAGAGAGUCUCACAAGCCAAGAUGGA